CUAUGCGCCUUGCCAGCCCGCUCAGGUGUGCCAGCCGCCGCGGUAAUACAGAGGUCUCAAGCGUUGUUCGGAAUCACUGGGCGUAAAGCGUGCGUAGGCGGUUUCGUAAGUCGUGUGUGAAAGGCGGGGGCUCAACCCCGGACUGCACAUGAUACUGCGAGACUAGAGUAAUGGAGGGGGAACCGGAAUUCUCGGUGUAGCAGUGAAAUGCGUAGAUAUCGAGAGGAACACUCGUGGCGAAGGCGGGUUCCUGGACAUUAACUGACGCUGAGCACGAAGGCCAGGGAGCGAAAGGG
rnacentral:rRNA from 1 species